rnacentral:rRNA from 1 species
UACGUAGGGUGCAAGCGUUAAUAGGAAUUACUGGGCGUAAAGCGUGCGCAGGCGGUUGUGUAAGACAGAUGUGAAAUCCCCGGGCUCAACCUGGGAACUGCAUUUGUGACUGCACAGCUGGAGUGCGGCAGAGGGGGAUGGAAUUCCGCGUGUAGCAGUGAAAUGCGUAGAUAUGCGGAGGAACACCGAUGGCGAAGGCAAUCCCCUGGGCCUGCACUGACGCUCAUGCACGAAAGCGUGGGGAGCAAACAGG